rnacentral:rRNA from 1 species
GCUUGUCUCAAAGAUUAAGCCAUGCAUGUCUAAGUGUAAAUACGUCUACACUGUGAAACUGCGAAUGGCUCAUUAAAUCAGUUAUCGUUUAUUUGAUGAUCUCUUGUUACAUGGAUAACCGUAGUAAUUCUAGAGCUAAUACAUGCGUCAAGCCCCGACUCACGAAGGGGUGUAUUUAUUAGAUUCAAAACCAACCGUGUAAAAGCGUACCUUGGUGAUUCAUAAUAACUUGUCGAACCGCACGCCCUUGAGGCAGCGGUGAUUCAUUCAAAUUUCUGCCCUAUCAACUGUGAUGGUAAGGUCUUGGCUUACCAUGGUGACAACGGGUGACGGGGAAUUAGGGUUCGAUUCCGGAGAGGGAGCCUGAGAAACGGCUACCACUUCUAAGGAAGGCAGCAGG